CAAUUUUAAUAAUUGAAAUAAUAACUUACAAACUCUGAAUGUUGUCAGAAUCUCUUCCUUUCCUCUUUUUUUGGGUGUUUGUUUAUCCGAUUAUUGUACGGAUGGCUGGAUCUCUCGCUAGAUUUUGUCUUUUUUUUUUUUUUUUUUUUUUUUUUUUCUUGUUUGUUAAUUUAGGGACUAGAUGUUUAAUUUUGAACUAAUUUUGUGUGAGGUUGACUGGGUAGGAGUUCGUAUGCUGAAAUCUUUCUAAGAAAGCUAAGGAAGAGAUCUCCAACAUCACUCAGGAUCUCUCUGUAUGGAAUUCUACCACCCUGCUGAUUUCCACACACCCUCUCUCUGUCUCUUUGUUGCAUGCAUUGUUCUUGAUCUUGAUCAUUGUUUUCUUUUGUUGGAAUUAAUCCUGCUGCUUAAUAGGGAAGACCCAUCCCAUUUGAUCACUUCCCCAAUUUAAUAAAUUUUCUUAAAGUAGAAAGCUAACAUGUUAUAUAUGUACAUAGUACUUAAUCAGGUUUCGUUUUAGGAUUGAUUUUGUGGGUUUAGGAUCUUGAUUGGUUAAUGUCCUGCUUGGUCACUGAGAAUUUGAAGUUUUCAAUUUUUUUGAAAGCUUUGAAUUGGAAGGGAAAAUUCUUCUGAUGUUUAAUUGAAAUGAGUAUUUCAAAGAUUGCGUAUUUUUUGGAAUUUUCAUGCUUCGAAGCUCAAGAGGCUAUGCCACUGGUAUUUCAAAUGGUACUUUGGUUUCUUACAUUGAUUCCUUUAUGUUGAUAUAUGUAAUUUGGUUUUGUAGGUCAUGGUUUGUCAGCAAGAAAAUUAAGCUGCAAAUUCAUUUGAGUUUUUCAUUAUCAUAGUGGGAAGUUGGAUCAGUCUGGUUGUGUCUAAUUGUUCUACUGUUCUCCGAGAACACAAGGUUGGUCUCCCUCUUUAUUGCAAGAAAUUGGGGGAUGAAUUUGGUUUCACGGGAAUGUUAUCCUUCUUUAUUCUUAUACAACACAAAAAAAAAAAAAUGCAUUGGGUGCAAGUAUGUGUUUAUUUUUAUAGUGUGAAAGUCAGUUGUGUUUUUGUUGCUGCAGUCGGGUUGUACUUACUCUUGUUUUACCUCUGGCAUUGGUCUUCAAUUCACCAUUAAAUGCAGAAGAGGAAGUCCACCUUGCCAUAUGAUUUUACUUGACAUGUUCAAUUGACUGUGUAGAUCUAAUUCCAUUGGCGGAUUAUUAUUUGUCCUUAAUUAGAAUGCAUCAGUAAACAUUGUUUUUUUCACCGCCAAGUACGAUUACUGAAAACAUAAGAGAAUUUGUUUACUUUUUGAUCAACAUACUAGAGAAUUCGUAAACAUGCUAAUAGAAAAUACUCUUGAUAAGCACUAAAGAAUGAUGUGAUACAUAUUCCGGCUCCUAUACAUAUAGUUAGUUGCUGGUGAUUUUGUCACCAGAAAACUCAGUGGGUUACAUCUUGCCUUGCCAGUAGACAUGUGAUACACUUUUUUAAGACUAAGAGUAUGUUCUAAUUUAUGGUCGGGAGCAUUAGUAGUGGUUUUAACUAAUUUUAAAGGAUCAUUUAUUUGGAUGAAAGAGAGCAGGCUUAACAUUUUGUCCAGCAAACCCUUUUUCCAGAAGCACUUAACACAACCUUUCUAUGGGUUAAUUGUUGUUUCAAUUAUACCAGAUUGAAAACGAGUAUGGAACCAUUGGUCAAGCAUACGGGGCUGUUGCUUCUUUUUCUCAAGGAAACAGAGCUUUUUUUUUUAUAACCACAUCUUUUGUAAUCAGCUCGGUUGAAUGUAUAUAAAAGCCAAGCUGCUUAUCUUACCGACACUGUUCACUCAUCUAUCCCUUUUAUUCGUUCAUGAUUACGUUGAA